UUCUUCUGCCCUACGGCUCGUGUUUCUCCCCCUACUGCACCCAGGACGCUCCGAGCCACAACCCCUCCCUCCAGCCCCGCGAACGCAAAGACCGCUUCUGUCGAUGUGGAGGCCGAGAAGGCGCUGUAGGGGUCCGCGACGAGCUUGGCGCACCGCAUCACCACGGCCAGGAGGAAGAGGCACAUGAGCACCACAGAGGCCAUGGCGAAGCCCUCGUCCACGUCAACAGCUGGCGGCGCCGCGGUGUUCUCCAUGCGGGUGGCCCUCAGGUGCUUGGCCCCGAGUUCCAGGCUGCCGGGGGCUUCUCUGCGGGACAGAGGCAGAGCUGCAUUGCCCAGGCAUCUGGACUGCUCAAUCCCUGCAGUAUUAGGUGCAACAGGGACACCGGGACUUGGCAGACCCUUCACAGAAAGGACGGUGGCUUGGGUUAGAAGUGGGCCGGGAGUUUGUGCGGGCUGGGAAAAAACACCAAGAAGCAAACAGGGGUGGUAACAGAGGGUAUUCUGAUUGCUUAAGAGACCUUUGUAGCAGUGGACAGAUAGAUUCAUACAAGGUUGGAGAGAAGUGGAGGCUUAUUCAGACUACUGCCAGGAAAGCCACAUGGACUGAACUGUGUGUAUACAGGUCUAUCUAUAGCUCUAUAAACACAUAAAUAUAUAUAAAGUAUGCUCCAGGAGCAAGUGAGCACAGCCUGGACUAUACCAAGGAUGGCACAUGAUGCAAGAGGAUCUGCCAAGUCCUGCAGUGCCCAGAGAUUGCUGGAAGUCCCCAGGUCUGAGUCUAGUCCCAUGUGUGCUGUUUGGGGCUGUUCCUUACCUCCCCACGGAUGGAUGGACAGACGGGCUGGUUGCUGUGCCCCGCUUGCUGCCCCGCUGUCUGCGGCCCUAGCGCUGUCCCUGACUGUGGCUGCCUUCUGUCACCAGGGCUUCAUGAAUACUGCAGGAAUGUGGCGACAUCACCUUUCAGGCACUCCCAGUAAUGGGAUCCUGUGGAUUAAAUUCUAACCCCCUUGA